AAUAGAUACCCCGGUAGUCCACGCCGUAAACGAUGAGUGCUAAGUGUUAGGGGGUUUCCGCCCCUUAGUGCUGCAGCUAACGCAUUAAGCACUCCGCCUGGGGAGUACGGUCGCAAGACUGAAACUCAAAGGAAUUGACGGGGGCCCGCACAAGCGGUGGAGCAUGUGGUUUAAUUCGAAGCAACGCGAAGAACCUUACCAGGUCUUGACAUCCCAUUGAUCACUAUGGAGACAUAGUUUUCCUUUCGGGGACAACGGUGACAGGUGGUGCAUGGUUGUCGUCAGCUCGUGUCGUGAGAUGUUGGGUUAAGUCCCGCAACGAGCGCAACCCUUGUUCUUAGUUGCCAUCAUUUAGUUGGGUACUCUAAGGAGACUGCCGGUGACAAACCGGAGGAAGGUGGGGAUGACGUCAAAUCAUCAUGCCCCUUAUGACCUGGGCUACACACGUGCUACAAUGGACGGUACAAACGGUUGCCAACCCGCGAGGGGGAGCUAAUCCGAUAAAACCGUUCUCAGUUCGGAUUGUAGGCUGCAACUCGCCUACAUGAAGCC
rnacentral:rRNA from 1 species